rnacentral:lncRNA from 1 species
UGAUACGGUGGCAGCUUGAUGAUCUAAUAGCGUUAGGGUUUUGUUUGGGGAAGAUAGGUGAAGAAGAAGAAGAAGAGGGAAAAAAUAAAAUAAAGAAGAUGGGGGUUCUAAACGUGGGGUUUUUUAUUUGUGUUUUUUUUUCUUUGUUUUUCAUCAUUUUUCUUUUUUGGGCUUAGGUUGUUUGAGCUUCUUUUUUUUUCUUUCUUUGGUCUACUUGGGUUCUUGAAAUUUUGGGUUUGGGUAUGGGUUUAUUUAUUUGGAGAAAAAUGGCAAUACUAAACGUGAC